CCUACGGGAGACAGCAGUGAGGAAUAUUGGUCAAUGGACGCAAGUCUGAACCAGCCAUGCCGCGUGCAGGAAGACGGCUCUAUGAGUUGUAAACUGCUUUUGUACGAGGGUAAACGCAGAUACGCGUAUCUGGCUGAAAGUAUCGUACGAAUAAGGAUCGGCGAACUCCGUACCAGCAGCCGCGGUAAUACGGAGGAUUCAAGCGUUAUCCGGAUUUAUUGGGUUUAAAGGGUGCGUAGGCGGUCGGAUAAGUUAGAGGUGAACUCCCGAGGCUCAACUUCGGAAUUGCCUCUGAUACUGUUCGGCUAGGGAGUAGGUGCGGUAGGCGGAAUGUAUGGUGUAGCGGUGAAAUGCUUAGAGAUCAUACAGAACACCGAUUGAGAGGGCAGCUUACCAAGCUACUUCUGACGUUGAGGCACGAAAGCGUGGGGAGCAAACAGGAUUAGAUACCCGGUAGUC
rnacentral:rRNA from 1 species